UCCUUAGUAGCUCAGUGGUAGAUCGGUUGACUGUUAACUGAUUGGUCGUAGUUUCGACUCUGACUUGGGAAA